CCUACGGGAGGCUGCAGUCGAGAAUCAUUCACAAUGGGGGAAACCCUGAUGGUGCGACGCCGCGUUGGGGAAUGAAGGUCUUCGGAUUGUAAACCCCUGUCAUGUGGGAGCAAAUUAAAAAGAUAGUACCACAAGAGGAAGAGACGGCUAACUCUGUGCCAGCAGCCGCGGUAAUACAGAGGUCUCAAGCGUUGUUCGGAAUCACUGGGCGUAAAGCGUGCGUAGGCUGUUUCGUAAGUCGUGUGUGAAAGGCGCGGGCUCAACCCGCGGACGGCACAUGAUACUGCGAGACUAGAGUAAGGGAGGGGGAACCGGAAUUCUCGGUGUAGCAGUGAAAUGCGUAGAUAUCGAGAGGAACACUCGUGGCGAAGGCGGGUUCCUGGACAUUAACUGACGCUGAGGCACGAAGGCCAGGGGAGCGAAAGGGAUUAGAUACCCGAGUAGUC
rnacentral:rRNA from 1 species